GGGGAGAUUCCAGAGUGGCCAAAUGGAGCAGACUGUAACUCUGUUGUCUUACGACUUCGCAGGUUCGAAUCCUGCUCUCCCCA
rnacentral:tRNA from 1 species